UACGCAGGGGGCUAGCGUUGCUCGGAAUCACUGGGCGUAAAGCGCACGUAGGCGGAUUGUUAAGUCAGGGGUGAAAUCCCGGAGCUCAACUCCGGAACUGCCUUUGAUACUGGCGAUCUUGAGUCCGGGAGAGGUGAGUGGAACUGCGAGUGUAGAGGUGAAAUUCGUAGAUAUUCGCAAGAACACCAGUGGCGAAGGCGGCUCACUGGCCCGGUACUGACGCUGAGGUGCGAAAGCGUGGGGAGCAAACAGG
rnacentral:rRNA from 1 species